CCUACGGGAGGCUGCAGUGAGGAAUAUUGGUCAAUGGACGAGAGUCUGAACCAGCCAAGUAGCGUGAAGGAUGACUGCCCUAUGGGUUGUAAACUUCUUUUAUAAAGGAAUAAAACGAGGCACGUGUGCCUUUUUGCAUGUACUUUAUGAAUAAGGAUCGGCUAACUCCGUGCCAGCAGCCGCGGUAAUACGGAGGAUCCGAGCGUUAUCCGGAUUUAUUGGGUUUAAAGGGAGCGUAGACGGGUUGUUAAGUCAGUUGUGAAAGUUUGCGGCUCAACCGUAAAAUUGCAAUUGAUACUGGCAGUCGUGAGUACAGUUGAGGUAGGCGGAAUUCGUGGUGUAGCGGUGAAAUGCUUAGAUAUCACGAAGAACCCCGAUUGCGAAGGCAGCUUACUAAACUGUGACUGACAUUGAUGCUCGAAAGUGUGGGUAUCAAACAGGAUUAGAUACCCCUGUAGUC
rnacentral:rRNA from 1 species